GAUGAAGAACGCAGCGAAAUGCGAUAAGUAAUGUGAAUUGCAGAAUUCAGUGAAUCAUCGAAUCUUUGAACGCACAUUGCGCCCCCUGGUAUUCCGGGGGGCAUGCCUGUUCGAGCGUCAUUUCACCACUCAAGCCUCGCUUGGUAUUGGGCAACGCGGUCCGCCGCGUGCCUCAAAUCGACCGGCUGGGUCUUCUGUCCCCUAAGCGUUGUGGAAACUAUUCGCUAAAGGGUGUUCGGGAGGCUACGCCGUAAAACAACCCCAUUUCUAAGGUUGACCUCGGAUCAGGUAGGGAUACCCGCUGAACUUAAGCAUAUCAAUUAGCGGGGA
rnacentral:misc_RNA from 1 species